rnacentral:tRNA from 1 species
UCCCUAGUGGUCCAGAGGUUACGCCUCAGCGCUUUCACUGCUGAGGGCCCGAGUUCAAUUCUUGGUCAGGGAA